UACGUAGGGUGCAAGCGUUAAUCGGAAUUACUGGGCGUAAAGCGUGCGCAGGCGGCUUUGCAAGUCAGAUGUGAAAUCCCCGGGCUUAACCUGGGAACUGCAUUUGUGACUGCAUGGCUGGAGUGCGGCAGAGGGGGAUGGAAUUCCGCGUGUAGCAGUGAAAUGCGUAGAUAUGCGGAGGAACACCAAUGGCGAAGGCAAGCCCCUGGGCCUGUACUGACGCUCAUGCACGAAAGCGUGGGGAGCAAACAGG
rnacentral:rRNA from 1 species